GACGAAGGUGGCGAGCGUUGUUCGGAAUCACUGGGCAUAAAGCGCAAGCAGGCGGCACGGUAAGUCGGAUGUGAAAUCCCUCGGCCCAACCGAGGAACUGCGUCCGAUACUGCCGAGCUUGAGAUCGGGAGGGGUGCGUGGAAUUCCGGGUGGAGCGGUGAAAUGCGUUGAUAUCCGGAGGAACACCGGCGGCGAAAGCGACGCACUGGUCCGAUUCUGACGCUGAGUUGCGAAAGCCAGGGUAGCAAACGGG
rnacentral:rRNA from 1 species